UUUCCGAAGGCGCCCAGAGCCGGGCACGCGAGAGAAGGUGGCCGUCCACACGGAGCCCGGUGCCCGCCGCGCUGUAACGGAGGCUGCGUGCUGAGAACAGUGGCUGUUAUCUGAGUCAGGCCGACCGCUCUCUCGGGACUAUGGGCCAGGAAAUGGCGGGAGAGCAGUCCGGAGGAGAUACGCGUACAGGAACACAGAGGCGGAAGCCAUGUUGACCAGAGAAGGCAGUUAGCCCCUAGGACUGCUUCUGUCCCCAGCGUGCUUUUUCAGUUCCGGUUAUCCACACGUUUCCUUCCAAUGAGCGCUUGCCACCCAGGGUGCCCUGGUUACGCCUCUGUCCCUUGCUAACCCAGCGUGGGUGGGACUUUUCUUCCUCAUUUCAAACCAUAAAAGACACGUCUCUCUAGACUGGAGAUGGAAUGUCUGGCAGAAUGUAACCCAUAUCCCACAUGGCAGCAGCUGGUAAGAGCCGCGUGGCCUAUGGGCUCUUUGGAUCAGGCAUGCGCAAUUCUUACUUACACGCCCUGACUUCUGUCAACACUGGAAUUUACAAACCUCAACGCUCAAUGCUCUACCUAUAUUAAUUAAGUUUUUACCCACAACCUA